GGACUUGUAGCUCAAUGGCCAGAGCGGCCUGUAGUUACAUUGGUAACUGCCGCGCAUUUAGCGGGUUCGAUUCCCGCCAAGUCCU
rnacentral:tRNA from 1 species